GACGGGUGAGUAACGCGUGGGUAACCCGCCUUAUACUGGGGGAUAACAGCCAGAAAUGACUGCUAAUACCGCAUAAGCGCACAGAACCGCAUGGUUCCGUGUGAAAAACUCCGGUGGUAUAAGAUGGACCCGCGUUGGAUUAGCUAGUUGGCAGGGCAGCGGCCUACCAAGGCGACGAUCCAUAGCCGGCCUGAGAGGGUGAACGGCCACAUUGGGACUGAGACACGGCCCAGACUCCUACGGGAGGCAGCAUG
rnacentral:rRNA from 1 species